AUUCGCUGCAUCGCCUCUGCCGAGCCCAGGCCCCGCCCCCCGCUGCCAUUGGCCCCUGGGCGGAGCCCGCAGCAGAGACUCCGCGCGAGCCCCAGUCGCGGUCGCUGCACGUGCUGAGGCGGGAAUUGCGAAGGAGCCGUUGGGGCCGUUACUCGCCGCGCGCAGGAGCCGAGGCACAAACUGAAGAAUCUGCAGCUGGUGGGCUGGUGCUACAGGACACAGCGAGCUGGCUCUCCAGAGCCUCUAUUCCCUUGGGCCAGGCAGGAAAGCACAGGGUGCGUGUGUCUGGCUGCUGCGUUCACUACGCUCACACUCCACACAAGCCGAGAGAGAA